rnacentral:rRNA from 1 species
AUGACUACCGUUCCAGGAUCUCUGGUCUGGGAGCUCGUGAAGAAGAACAACUGCUUCUUGAUAAAACAGUUCUGCAACAGCAACGCCAAGGUGCGGUUCAGCAAGGAGCCCAACAACCUCUACAAUGUCCACUCCUGCAAGUUCUCGAGCUUGGCGAACAGCAAGACUGUGGCGGUCCAGCCAUCAGCGGGAGAGGACAAGGCAGUUGUCCUGUCCACGACCAAGACCAAGAAGUAG